rnacentral:rRNA from 1 species
GAUGAACGCUGGCGGCGUGCCUAAUACAUGCAAGUCGAGCGAACAGACGAGGAGCUUGCUCCUCUGACGUUAGCGGCGGACGGGUGAGUAACACGUGGAUAACCUACCUAUAAGACUGGGAUAACUUCGGGAAACCGGAGCUAAUACCGGAUAAUAUAUUGAACCGCAUGGUUCAAUAGUGAAAGACGGUUUUGCUGUCACUUAUAGAUGGAUCCGCGCCGCAUUAGCUAGUUGGUAAGGUAACGGCUUACCAAGGCAACGAUGCGUAGCCGACCUGAGAGGGUGAUCGGCCACACUGGAACUGAGACACGGUCCAGACUCCUACGGGAGGCAGCAGUAGGGAAUAUUACGCAAUGGGCGAAAGCAUGACGGAGCAACGCCGCGUGAGUGAUGAAGGUCUUCGGAUCGUAAAACUCUGUUAUUAGGGAAGAACAAAUGUGUAAGUAAAUAUGCACGUAUUGACGGUACCUAAUCAGAAAGCCACGGCUAACUACGUG